AUUGAACGCUGGCGGCAGGCCUAACACAUGCAAGUCGAGCGGUUGAGGGGAGCUUGCUCCCUGAUUCAGCGGCGGACGGGUGAGUAAUGCCUAGGAAUCUGCCUAUUAGUGGGGGACAACGUUUCGAAAGGAACGCUAAUACCGCAUACGUCCUACGGGAGAAAGCAGGGGACCUUCGGGCCUUGCGCUAAUAGAUGAGCCUAGGUCGGAUUAGCUAGUUGGUGAGGUAAUGGCUCACCAAGGCGACGAUCCGUAACUGGUCUGAGAGGAUGAUCAGUCACACUGGAACUGAGACACGGUCCAGACUCCUACGGGAGGCAGCAGUGGGGAAGAUUGGACAAUGGGCGAAAGCCUGAUCCAGCCAUGCCGCGUGUGUGAAGAAGGUCUUCGGAUUGUAAAGCACUUUAAGUUGGGAGGAAGGGUUGUAGAUUAAUACUCUGCAAUUUUGACGUUACCGACAGAAUAAGCACCGGCUAACUCUGUGCCAGCCGCCGCGGUAAUAC
rnacentral:rRNA from 1 species